GCUUGCGCGGCCAUGGAAGUUCACGGAGCACCUCCAGGGGGUUCACUAUGGCUUGCUCCUGACUCCCUUGAGCACAAGGAAGUGAUGACAACAGUUGGGAGCUACCCCUGGGAUUGAUGAACUGAAAUAGAAAUGAAACAUAAGGUAUGGCUGCCAUCCCAAGCUCUCGGCCUUAAACAACGGGGGCGGCUCACAGACAACAACGAGUCCAGGCUCAUUACACAGCAGCAGCCCCCCAGCAGCGUACCAACGGUGAGGCAGCACACUGCAUAUUUUUACAAGUAGCGGACAAUCCUAUAUGCGCACAACUAGUACCUGAUGUGGUUAGCUUCAGUUUUUAUUUUUAUUUUGGCUCUUGCCUAGAAAGUUCUGUAACACACUCUAAUUGAUUCUCUCUGUAAUUGAAUAUUUGCAUCAAUCGGUUCACUGGCUUCAAAUAGAAAAAGAAGUUCACCUCGUCCCCAUAUGAAGUUAGCUUAUUUUUAUUU